AAAUCAUUUUACAGUGAAAAUGAGUCUUCAGGCAAUGGGUACAGACGAGAGGGAUAGCGAGUGAAACAGCCAUUGAAACGUUCACUCUUCACUACAUUCACACCCUCUCUCGUCUCUUCCUACUGCAAAAAGAAUUGAUUUGAUUUGGAUGAUUAAUUCGAACAGAAUCUGAGGUUGCCAGUAGCCACACUUAGGUUACAGCAAAAACAAAAUAAUAAUGUUCUCUUUUGCUAGAAUUUGCUUCAAGUAUCGUGGUGCAUACUUCAGGAGAAAUGGCUCAAAUGAAAAUCCAUGUUCCACAAACUCAUUUUUGCAGAUAUUUACCAACCUAUCUGCAUUCAAUGAUGAUCCUUGUGGGAAAAGUUUGCACAGGGGGCGGUUCUUUCAUCAUUCUCAGAAACUUGACCCCCUUUUGUUUCUAGUCACUGCUAGUUAUACUCAAUUUCCUGUCCUAGCACCUUUUUGCUUUAAUUCCCAUUAUUCAACUAAGGCUCCCUCGAGGUCUUACAGAAGAAGAGCUCGAAAAAGGUUGUUAAAAUCCUGCAAGCCUACACUAAACCAAGCACAAUUUCAGUUGGCCCUGUCCCAACUUCCUCCAAGGUUCACUGCUGAAGAACUCUGCGAUGUGAUUGCUCAGCAACAUGACCCGUUAGUUUGCUUAGAACUGUUUCACUGGGCAUCUCAGCAGCCCAGGUUUCGGCAUGAUGCAUCAACAUUUCAUGUGACCAUUAAGAAGCUUGGUGUUGCAAAAAUGUACCAAGAAAUGGAUGACGUUGUGAACCAAUUGCUUGCAGUUCCUUUUAUUGGUUCGGAGGAGUUGUUUAACAUGGUUAUAUAUUAUUUCACUGAGGCCCGGAAGUUGACUAGAGCUGUCAAUGUAUUUAAGCACAUGAAAAGUAGGAGAAAUUUGAAUUGCUGUUUUAGGCCUUCUGUUAGAACCUAUAAUAUUCUUUUUGCUGCACUUUUGAGUAGAGGAAGCAACACCUAUAUAAAUCAUGUGUAUAUGGAAACAAUUAGAUGUCUGUUCAGGCAAAUGGUCAAUGAUGGGAUCAAACCUGAUAUUUUUUCAUUAAAUUCUAUGGUAAAAGGUUAUGUGCUAUCUCUUCAUGUUAAUGAUGCAUUGAGAAUAUUUCAUCAGAUGGGUGUGGUUUAUGAUUGCCAGCCCAACUCUUUAACGUAUGAUUACUUGAUUCACGGGUUGUGUGCCCAAGGCAGAACAAAGAAUGCCAAAGAAUUAUGUCAAGAAAUGAAGACCAGGGGUUUCAUUCCAAGUAGUAAAUCUUACAAUUCGCUUAUCAAUUCUUUGGCACUUGACAGAGAGAUUGAGGAGGCAGUAAAUUAUCUGUGGGAGAUGACUGAUAAAAAGAGGUCAGCUGAUUUUAUUACAUAUAGGACUGUACUGGAUGAGAUAUGUAGACGAGGAACAAUUCAGGAGGGCAUGAGGUUUUUACAGGAGUUGCAAGAAAAGGACCUCGUAGAUGGGCAUGCUUAUAGGAAGCUUCUUUAUGUGCUUGAAGAUGAUUAUGGGAAUUCACUGAGCAGGACUAUGGGAAUUCACUGAGCAGGACUAUGGGAAUUCAAUGAGCAGAAUUGCUUCAUGUGCUGCAAAUUUUCCAUUCAUUUAUCACUAUAGUGGGCUCUUUCUUUAAUUUGAGAGCCAAGAGUCAUUUAAAAUUUUACAUGCAAUGUGCAAAGUUUCAUAAUGUCUUUUUGAUAUUGCAUGUAUAGCAUGUGCACAUCCUAGCCAUGGAAAACCAAAGUUCUAUUCAACUCCUGAGAAUUGGUUUCUGCAGAAAAUGGUGCCUUCCAACAAAUCAUGUGUGGUUGUUUUCAACAAGAAAAUCAGCCACUUCUUUCUUUGCUGCCUAUGAUGCCUUAUGUGAGGAGGGUACUGCAACGUCUGUAUGCAAGGCUCUUGAUGAAAUUGCAAUUGUAGACAUUUCUGUGUCAGAAACGGUAUUUGAUUGAAAGCCAGUUGAAAUGAUAUUAAGUUGGCUCAAUGGAGAACAAAUGAAAGCCCUUAAAGAGGAAGAAGGGGAAUUUUCUCACGGUGAAGAACUCUGCAAUGUGAUUGCUCGGCAACAUGACCCGUUAGUUUGCUUAGAAUUGUCUCACUGGGCGUCUCAGCAGCCCAGGUUGCGGCAUAAUGCGUUCACGUUUCAUAUGACCAUUUAGAAGCUUGGUGUUGCAAAAAUGUACCAAGAAAUGGAUGAUCUUUGUUGAUAUUUCAUGCUCUUUCAUGUUUUUUCUU